UACGUAGGGUGCAAGCGUUGUCCGGAAUUACUGGGCGUAAAGAGCUCGUAGGUGGUUUGUCACGUCGUCUGUGAAAUUCCACAGCUUAACUGUGGGCGUGCAGGCGAUACGGGCUGACUUGAGUACUGUAGGGGUAACUGGAAUUCCUGGUGUAGCGGUGAAAUGCGCAGAUAUCAGGAGGAACACCGAUGGCGAAGGCAGGUUACUGGGCAGUCACUGACGCUGAGGAGCGAAAGCAU
rnacentral:rRNA from 1 species